GACAGCAUGGUAUAGUGGUUUGAGCAUAAGAUUAGGACUCUGAAGUUCAGGGUUCAAUUCCCUGCUCAGCCA